UGUUUGCAUUGCAAGUGACAUCUGGCUGACAGGAAGCUGGAGAAAUGGGAUAUGAAGUGAAUGCUGCAGUUACCACAGUAUCAUAUUUAUCAAAAGGCUUAAGGAGCCCAUGUCUUCGCCACCUUAGUCAUCUUCCCAGCCUUUGGAUGAAGCAUCUGAAUCCCCAACAUUACUUCUGGAGCCAUUUAAAAAACAGACUUCCUAAAAGCCACUGCUGGAUGAUGGUGACUGAUGCUGAAAGUUGUUCUCAAAUGGGAGAUAAUCAGAUCCGAAGAGUAUUUACAGCCCAGAUACCUGAUGUAUUACUUCAUCAGCAAAUUCAACAAGGCCAAGAUGUCUUCAUUUUCCUUCAGAGCAAGAGCUGUAAGAGCAGUGUGAGGGAAGCAUUGGUCUUCUGUGGCCAGCCGGCGAGAACCCAUCAACAGCUGUGA
rnacentral:lncRNA from 1 species